rnacentral:lncRNA from 1 species
AAAGAGAUAACUCCUAGCAUCCACGAUCUGCAGGGCAUGCGCACGUCGCCGGGCUCUGAGCCUUUCUUCCUGACUAUAAAUACAGAUCGACGAGGAGGCCUGAGUGGCGGGACUCUCCAUUCGCUGCUAGUCCACCCGAGCAGAAAUCCAUCGAAAGAGCACCCCAGACUCUCAUACGUGCAAACCUUCCCCUGAUUCUCCUAAGCAUAGGCCCUAACACAUACGCACGUACUGCUGCUGCUUCUCUCGGUAAGUUCACAAAAGCAAGAACAUCCGUGAGAGAGUAGAAGAGAGAUAUCAAGGAGGAACUUGGUGCUUCAAAGAGGUGAGAAGGUAGAAAAUCAUGUCAUCCCUCUGCCCUUAGGUUUGUCCUUUUGGUUCAAGUCAAGGAGCAUUCUCAUCUUCCUCAUGUCAGGUCCUUCGUUUCGGUCUUUUAGUUCAAAUCAAGGAAUAUAUAUUUUCAUAGUUUCUUCAUGAUACCAUGCCCUUAGGUUCGGUCUUUUGGUUCGGAUCAAGGAAAUUUGCAUAGUCCCAUGUCAUAUAUUUUGCAUACCUUCGUUUUGGCCUUCGCGGUUCAGGACAAGGAUCAUAUAUUUGCACACCUUCGUUUUGGCCUUCGCGGUUCAGGAUAAGGAUCAUAUAUUUUGCAGACCUUCGUUUUGGCCUUCGCGGUUCAGGACAAGGAUCAUAUAUUUGCACACCUUCGUUUUGGCCUUCGCGGUUCAGCACAAGGAUCAUAUAUUUGCACACCUUCGUUUUGGCCUUCGCGGUUCAGCACAAGGAUCAUAUAUUUGCACACCUUCGUUUUGGCCUUCGCGGUUCAGCACAAGGAUCAUAUAUUUGCACACCUUCGUUUUGGCCUUCGCGGUUCAGCACAAGGAUCAUAUAUUUGCACACCUUCGUUUUGGCCUUCGUGGUUCAGCACAAGGAUCAUAUAUUUGCACACCUUCAUUUUGGCCUUCGUGGUUUAGAAUAAGGAUCAUAUAUUUUGCAUACCUUCGUUUUGGCCUCCGCGGUUCAGAACAAGGACAAUGUUCCGAAAAACACCUAAAAUUGGUAUGUUAAUAACAAAAAUCUUAAUAUACGCACUGCGCAUGGGUUCUUCGCGAAUUCCAUGAUAUGAGCCGUUAAAAAUCUUGAAAUCAUAAAUCGAAGCUCCUAUCAUGGGUUCUUCACGAAUUCCAUGAUAUGAGCCAUGAAAAUCCCAAAAUUAUAACUUGACGCUCCGCGCAUGGGUUCUCAAUAAGAAUUCCAUGAUAUGAGUUUUAUUUCACCAAAAUAAUAAGUCAUGUUCUUAUGGUCAAGGAUAGUCAAAUUAUCUUCGACUUCAAAUUUGCAUGCAAAUUAUAUUAGUAUAUUUGCAUCUCGUCCAAAAUAAAUUGUAUGCAUCUUUCACAUGGGUGCACGCAUGAUAAGAAAAAAAAUGAAGAUUAGGAAUAUAGCAUGUGUCGCUUGUACCAACAAUCAUAUGUGCAUUUAAAUAUUUUAUUCACAUAGUUUGAGCCGUAAAAAUGCUAAAAUGAUAAACCAUGCCCUGCGCAUGGGUUCCCAUCGAAAUUUCAUGAUAUGAGGCUGAUGUUAAAUUAUAAGUUACGUUCUACGCAUGGCUUUUCCAAAAUAAAAUAAAAUGAAUGAAGCAUAUUAGCAAAAUAUAUUACAAGAUACCAAAUAUAAUGAUGAAAAUAUAGCUCAUAAAACAUCACUUUAAUUAUGAUGCUUAUAGGCAUCAUAGUCAUACAUGUGCCACUAAACUAUGUCAAAUUAAUAUGCAUGCCCAAUAUAUGAGUCAACAUCAUGAGUUCCAGGCUUAGCCAAAACUAUAUAUUCGCACUUGAUAUCAUACUAGUGCAAAUCAAAUCCAAAAAUCUGCUCCAUAAUGCGAAUAUAUGCUCCAAAAUUCUAAACACAAUCACAUGAACAAACUUCAAGUUCCCAAGCAGGCGUCCGUCAUCGACAAGCGAGGAAGACUUCAUUUUAUUUUUAUCUUUUGUAAUAGUCAUAGGCAUAUGUUUUAAUCCUUUAGAAAUGUUGGAAUUUUUAAUCAGGGGUUUUCUCGUGGGAGAUGUAAUAAACAGAAUUUUUAUGUAAAUGUAAGAGUUCUGGAAAUACAGAGCAUGCAAUGUUUGAUCCCUUAUUUAUUUUGCGCAUUUACGCAUUUAAUUUAUAUACUAUCUGUCUCUACGACGUGGACGCGUAUUUCCUCGCCCCAUUUUCCCGUCAUCAACUGGGUAUAGAUUAAUGGAGAGUGAUCGCAUUCAAUGCUCGUGAUUUUUGUAGGGCAUUUCCGCCAAGUGUCUGAAUCUCAGUCUGAAUUGUUGCUUUGAAAAUGACAUCUUUAUCGCCCUUCUUUUGUAAUACCUAAACCGGAAUGGUCAUUUGGAUAGUUGUCAGAAAAAGAAGACAAAUGCUUGAACCAGUUUUGCACUGAUUUUUUUUAUGAAAUCCUCUGGGACUCCGAAACGAGGAAAGCAUGUGAAACUAAAUAUACUAUUUAUCCAACCAUUCACAACGGAGUUGGAUCUAGCAUCCAAGCAACGCCCAAAGAUAUUGCUUACAGAUAUAUAUUUUUGCAACAAAGAAAUAUGUAAUGCCGAUGUGCAGUUACUUGAAAUCCUUUGCAAUCGCAGGGUGCUAGUGAAGUAAGCUGCAGCCGCAUCCUGAAAUUCAUGUAUUUUGAAUUCCCGUAUGAUUUAACAUGGUAUGGCGUCCGAUUCUUAUUUCUUUAUUUUUUAAAUUCCAUGAUGAAAGAACUCAGCAUGAUUUUUCUUCUUUUACCUCAUUUAGCGAAACUUGUGCUGAUUUUAUCUCAUAUAAGUUUUUUAUCAUUCUGAUAGAUGUGAUCCAGUUUUUCAAGACGGCUUAACUUGCCACAUGGAUAAAGCAUUUUUCUUAGGCGCUUCCGACGUAGUAGCCAAGCAUGUAACCGGUUGAUUAUUUCUUAGUGCAUACACAAAUCAAUCAAUUGGAUCAAGCGGCGGCUGAGUCGCCUUGGCCAUUCCCCAACAAUUAGGCAUAUGGCGCGAGAAGGUGUGGCCAUGAACUGUCACUCGUGCUGGUGAGCAAAGCGACUAUUCGUUCUCCUCCGUCAUGGCCACGCUGAUGAGGAUGGACUGCUCUUACUAGCCGAUGGGAAAAAAAGGUCGCCACCAACACGACCAGGGCUCCCUUGUUUCCGUCGGCCGUUGUAGUAGGAUGCCCGACGACGCUUGGUCCCGUCAAGCGCACAAGCAGAGAAGAGCGGGAUAAACAUAGUGAUCGUGGUCAGGUUGUGGUUAGACUAAUUCUGGAUGGGACAGCUGGUCAGUCACAUUUGAUUACUUUAGACCUUUAGAUUUGUGUGGUUAAGUAAAUAAAAAUGAUCAUUUCAUAUCAAUCGGCAACGGAAAGACAAGGACAAUUUUUACCUUUUGCAUUACGCCCUAAAACCGUUAAGUAUUUGAUAUUUUAAGGCACACAAAGACGUGGGUAUUUUA